UACGUAGGGUGCAGGUGUUAAUCGGAAUUACUGGGCGUAAAGCGUGCGCAGGCGGUUUGUUAAGACAGAUGUGAAAUCCCCGGGCUUAACCUGGGAACUGCGUUUGUAACUGGCAAGCUAGAGUGUGGCAGAGGGGGGUGGAAUUCCAAGUGUAGCAGUGAAAUGCGUAGAUAUUUGGAGGAACACCAAUGGCGAAGGCAGCCCCCUGGGUUAACACUGACGCUCAUGCACGAAAGCGUGGGGAGCAAACAGG
rnacentral:rRNA from 1 species